rnacentral:tRNA from 1 species
GAUAAAAUGGCUGAGAUUAAAUAGGUAAUAGAUUGUAAAUCUAUUUAGGAGAAUAUUUCUUUUUUAUCA